AGCGAACGCUGGCGGCAGGCUUAACACAUGCAAGUCGAGCGGGCGUAGCAAUACGUCAGCGGCAGACGGGUGAGUAACGCGUGGGAACAUACCUUUUGGUUCGGAACAACACAGGGAAACUUGUGCUAAUACCGGAUAAGCCCUUACGGGGAAAGAUUUAUCGCCGAAAGAUUGGCCCGCGUCUGAUUAGCUAGUUGGUGAGGUAAUGGCUCACCAAGGCGACGAUCAGUAGCUGGUCUGAGAGGAUGAUCAGCCACAUUGGGACUGAGACACGGCCCAAACUCCUACGGGAGGCAGCAGUGGGGAAUAUUGGACAAUGGGCGCAAGCCUGAUCCAGCCAUGCCGCGUGAGUGAUGAAGGCCCUAGGGUUGUAAAGCUCUUUUGUGCGGGAAGAUAAUGACGGUACCGCAAGAAUAAGCCCCGGCUAACUUCGUGCCAGCAGCCGCCGCGGUAAU
rnacentral:rRNA from 1 species